CCCCUCUGAGCGAUUUUUGUGUUAAUUUUCAUACUUUCCCAAAGGUGACAAAGUUGUAACCUCAGGGAAGUUCGGCUCUGCGGGUCGGGCCGGGCCGGGGCAGGAAGAGCCCAGCGAUCCCUAUCUGUGAACAGCACACAGACACUAUUUAGCUGACUGUUCAAAUAAACCUGGAUGAGUGCUGAAAUGAAAGAGGGGGGAAAAAAAACAUGCCCCAAAAGAAACGCGUGAGGAUAAAAAUAAAACGGCACCCAAACGAGCAGAAUCAGCUCGGAGCUUGUUCGCAGUGCCCGCACUGAGUUUAGUUUUCUAGGCGUUAUGUUAGGGUAAG